rnacentral:misc_RNA from 1 species
AAGUCGUAACAAGGUUUCCGUAGGUGAACCUGCGGAAGGAUCAUUAAUGAUUUGGCGAACCGAGCGUUAGCGAGGUUUUGCGAUCAACUUGUAUUUAAAACCCAACUCUUUAUAAUAUUUAUACAUAAUUUUAAUGAUUAAAAUUAAAGAUCACUUUCAACAACGGAUCUCUUGGCUCUC